rnacentral:rRNA from 1 species
GCACUGAAAGGAGGAUAAUUCUUUCUUUAUUUAUUUUUUAUGACAGUACUUUUAAGUCCAUCUUUUAGUAGAUUUUAAAUCUAUUAGCCGAUAUUAAUUAUUAAUGUAACUCACCUUAUAUUCUUACUUAUUGGCUGCACUUUGAUUUGUAUUAUUCUUUUCUAAGGAGAAGAAUUUACCUAAGGUAAACCCUAGACAACGGUAUACAAGCUUUAAAAGUAAGUAAUGAUUACUUGGUGGCUAUCAAUUACAUGGUAAGUUCCCCUAAAUUACUUCUUUCAGCCGCCAUAAUAUUUAAGUUUGGACCGUCUAAAUAGUAGUAAUCCUUGUUUGCGCUGUUUAAUCUCUGUAUAACUGGGUAUCUAAUCCAGGUUUAUUUUUAGAGUUUAGUAAUAAAUAAUAAAUAGUAUAAUUUAAUAAGUUAGCAGUAUUUCACUACAUAGUAACUUUUCAUGUAUAUGUGGGAAACAAAACAAAUACUAUAAAUUCAUCUAUUAGGUAUGACCGCGGUUGCUGGCACCUAAUACACCUAGAGUAAACAAAUGACUAAAUUUAAAUUUCUUUAAUUUAUUAAAACUUUUAACUGAAUAGAUUAUUUGUACUUCAUAUUAAAUCAGACUGUACACUUAUAGUACCAUCAUAUUAAAGUGGUCUGUUCCAAGGGGGAAUAUACACCAUUUUAGG